CCAGCCUGCGGCUCUACCUAACCCAUCUGCAGUCCUGGGAGGAUUCCCAGUCUUGCCUACCCGGCUACAGCCCUCUCACUGGGUCCACAACACGCUCACAACUCUCCGGCCAAUCCAACCAUCGCCCCAACCCUCCCUUCCUGGCCGGGUGCCCCAGCGUCCACAACCCCCUCCCACCCCUAGAGAACCGCGCGCUGCGCCUGGUGGACGGUGGCGGCGCCUGCGCCGGCCGCGUGGAGAUGCUGGAGCAUGGCGAGUGGGGAUCGGUGUGCGAUGACACUUGGGACCUAGAGGACGCCCACGUGGUGUGCAGGCAACUGGGCUGCGGCUGGGCAGUCCAGGCCCUGCCCGGCUUGCACUUCAUGCCCGGCCGCGGGCCUAUCCACCGGGACCAGGUGAACUGCUCCGGGGCCGAAGCUUACCUGUGGGACUGCCCGGGGCUGCCAGGACAGCACUACUGCGGCCACAAAGAGGACGCGGGCGUGGUGUGCUCAGAGCACCAGUCCUGGCGCCUGACCGGGGGCGCUGACCGCUGCGAGGGGCAGGUGGAGGUACACUUU
rnacentral:sRNA from 1 species